rnacentral:rRNA from 1 species
AUAUUGGACAAUGGGGGCAACCCUGAUCCAGCCAUGCCGCGUGUGUGAAGAAGGUCUUCGGAGUGUAAGGCACUGUACGUUUGGAGGAAUGGCAGCAAGUUAAUACCUUGCUGUUUUGACGUUACCGACAGAAUAAGCACCGGCUAACUUCGUGCCAGCAGCCGCGGUAAUACGAAGGGUGCAAGCGUUAAUCGGAAAUACUGGGCUUAAAGCGCGCGUAGGUGGUUUGGUAAGUUGGAAGUGAAAGCCCCGGGCUUAACCUGGGAACUGCUUUCAUAACUGCUGAGCUAGAGUACGGUAGAGGGUAGUGGAAUUUCCUGUGUAGCGGUGAAAUGCGUAGAUAUAGGAAGGAACACCAGUGGCGAAGGCGACUACCUGGACUGAUACUGACACUGAGGUGCGAAAGCGUGGGGAGCAAAC